UGCCUCAGUUGGUAGAGCGUGGUGUUUGCAACGCCAGGGUUGUGGGUUCGAUUCCCAU
rnacentral:tRNA from 1 species